rnacentral:Y_RNA from 1 species
GGCUGGUCUGAAGAUAGUAUUCUCAGUUGAUCAGUCGGUUACAGAUUGAGCUCCAUGUUCUGCUCUUUCCUGUUUUCUCACUUCUGCAUUUAACUAGUCUUAA